GAUGAACGCUGGCGGCGUGCCUAAUACAUGCAAGUCGAGCGAACGGACGAGAAGCUUGCUCUUCUGAUGUUAGCGGCGGACGGGUGAGUAACACGUGGAUAACCUACCUAUAAGACUGGGAUAACUUCGGGAAACCGGAGCUAAUACCGGAUAAUAUUUUGAACCGCAUGGUUCAAUAGUGAAAGACGGUCUUGCUGUCACUUAUAGAUGGAUCCGCGAUGCAUUAGCUAUUUGGUAAGGUAACGGCUUACCAAGGCAACGAUGCAUAGCCGACCUGAGAGGGUGAUCGGCCACACUGGAACUGAGACACGGUCCAGACUCCUACGGGAGGCAGCAGUAGGGAAUCUUCCGCAAUGGGCGAAAGCCUGACGGAGCAACGCCGCGUGAGUGAUGAAGGUCUUCGGAUCGUAAAACUCUGUUAUUAGGGAAGAACAUAUGUGUAAGUAACUGUGCACAUCUUGACGGUACCUAAUCAGAAAGCCACGGCUAACUACGUG
rnacentral:rRNA from 1 species